ACCGGUUGAAAACUAUACAACUUAGACGUUUCAUCAACACCUGUGCUAUGAAUACUGCAGACGACAUGAUGGAGUUCAGGAGGCAUUUCAUCCUGCUUGUGCAAGAUGUUCCUGUGUUUGACUGUGACUGUGCAGCACGUCAUCUCGCCGUGGCACAUCGAUACAAUACUCAAUGUUUCUAAUUCGCGGAGAUACCGAUGGCCUUUGCACAUUUUUCAAUGGUUAGAAACGGUGAUCAAGAAGUAUCAACUUAAAAAUAACAAGUCCUGUGAGGGCUGCAUGUUCGCAUUGCUGGUAUUGUACUUCCAGAAACUAAAGCAUGGUAAACUCAAGACAUGUCAAGAACCGGAGCCGUGGCUAGCUGCAUGGACUGCCACAGUGCUUAGCGCUAUGGUAGCAACUGUUUAACCAUAGGAUUGCGGCAACACCAGCGGAAACGAUGGUGGGGUUGUCGAAGGACGUGCAAGUAGUGUCACAAUGAAUCCGGGUCCUAAAAGCGCAGACCUACACCAUGAUGCAUGAGCAUCUUAAGCACUUUUCAUUAGCAUUUCUUAUAGAAAAAUUGUGACAUUUGCUUAAUAAUUAUAUGAUUUUCAAGGCUUUUCUAUUAGUACAUUGAUUUUCUUGGUUUCAUGAUUCUUGUAGGAAAAUUUUAGGAAAAGAGAAUCAAAAGAAUAAGGAGGAACCAAUAAUUAAAGACAAGUGCAAAGAGAAUUUGUAGAUGCUGUCAACCGUGACCUCUUCACACUCCAAUAAACAUAACUUGAGCUAAAAAAGUUUAAUUGACGUGAUUUCAGUGGCGUUAGAAAGCCAACUUUCAGAGCUUUCCAACAAUAUAUAAUAGUUUAUACUUUUUCUCUAGCAUCGUGGCGCUAAACGCUGCGACAUUGGCGUUUAGAGCCAAAUCGCAUCCAGCAUCACCAUUUCAUGCGGGAGUCCCGGCGCGAAACGCCUGACAAGUAGCAAGGAAGAGUAGAAUUGCGUAAAAAAAGGUGCCAAAUGCCACUAAAGUGGUGUGGAACACCUACAAAAGCCCCAGACUCGAGAAAUCUUUGUAAUUAAUGAAGAUUUAAAGACACCAAGAUUAAAUUACAAGGAAGAUCACUAGUUAGUCAAGGAGUCAUUAAGAAAAGAUUUGAUUUGGUUAGAUUUAAUUUUGUUUUGAUUUAAUUUGAAUUUGAAUGAUUAGAUUUGAUUUUGUUUUGAUUUAGUUUAAAUUUGAAUUCUAGGUUUAGUCUUAGAGGUUUUACUAUAAAAGGGGACUUCCUUCCUCCCC